GAGAGCAACAGCAAGAAGGAUAAAGAGUGAAUGCAGCAGCGCUUCGCUGUUCUGGCAUUCCAAUAAACACAGCUUCAUUUGACCCUCAGCUGAGGAAGGAGAUGGAAUCUCUGAGGCUGCUGUUCCCAGCUUAUCUGGUGUUUCACAGGCAGAGACUUUGCCCGGAGCUAUACAAAUGAUACUGGCUUCUGCCGUGGACUUCACUUCACUGAACUGGUGACUCAAGAACUGUUGAGGAAACGGAAGGAUCAAACAGGAGCUGGAGAAACUCGAUGAGUGAUGGACCAAAGCAAACUGAGUACUCACUUGGCAGACAGAAAAUCCUACAUGCCAGAUCUCUAAGGUCAGAAAUUCCCAGGUAUCUCCUCUUUGUCCUCCACACAAUUCUCCCACAAGGAUGGGAUUUUGGCACAUUCAACUUUCCCAGUCUAAGGAUAAGCGGGAUGGUGAAGGAGAGGGGCUAUCUCACAACUACUUCUAGAGGAAACCAUUAAUCAGUGUGAGGGAAUGCAGAGAGAUAAAAGGAAGCAAAAUUUUACAUGUAAAAAAUUCAUUAUAAAUCUUCUAAAAUGCUCUUUUGACAGUAACAUCGAUUUUUACUUAUCUAAUUUGUAAGCAAAUAUUUUAUGUGUUAUAUUGCCAUGACUUACCUAUAAAAGGUCAUCAUACAACCUGUGAUAGUCAUGUUCAUGGGGACCUGAGCUGACAUUCGGCCAAUCAAG